UACAGAGGGGGCAAGCGUUAUUCGGAAUUAUUGGGCGUAAAGAGCUCGUAGGCGGUCUGUUGCGUCGGUUGUGAAAACCUGGGGCUCAACUCCAGGCCUGCAAUCGAUACGGGCAGACUAGAGUUCGGUAGGGGAGACUGGAAUUCCUGGUGUAGCGGUGAAAUGCGCAGAUAUCAGGAGGAACACCGGUGGCGAAGGCGGGUCUCUGGGCCGAUACUGACGCUGAGGAGCGAAAGCGUGGGGAGCGAACAGG
rnacentral:rRNA from 1 species